GUUUGAAACCCCUCUAAACCCAAAGGGCUCAGAGUACCCUCUUCUACCAGCACAAAAGAAGGAAGUUUGUGUGGUGAAAAUGGCAAAUGGCUCCUGUUGAGGCCUGAACCCAAGCCCCCUUUGUUCUUAUGCAGAGGACCCUGAAGCCUGUCACCUCUCCACUGUCCACAAACAAGGCAAAACCAACCUACAUUUAAGUCUUACCUUGCCAGCAUAAAGGAAGUCACAGCUCAUUUGCCAGAAAUAUGUUUCCCUCCUUAAGCUACGUGACAGAUGAAAAAGCAGUUUUGAUUAGUGUGGGUCAUUUGUUUCCUUAUGGGAUCUGCUGAACUUGUGGGGUUCACAUCCAGCCUGGGCCAGCAGUCUGAGCCGCUCUGCAAUGCAGUUUUCCUAAUACUCAGCCGGCCUUGUCUUUCAUCUGGUGCAGUGGGCCUGUGACUUGAGCCCACAUCCAGUUUUCGGAAUGCUGCCUCCCUUUUGAAGCUAGGCUGUGCUGUGUGGGCUUCAGUGGUCUGUUCGUCACCUUAGGUAUGUGUCACCACCUACACAUGUGGAGUGAGGUGUCUGUAUCUGUAGGACCUUCCCAGACCAAAUGUCCACGGGAAAAUAUGGACUAAAAUUUUUUCAGCCAAUGUAUUUGUUUGCAGGGGUAAUAUGAGCAGUUGUGAUUGCCUUUUAAAUUAAUGAUUUUCCACACAGAGCUUAAAAAAUAAGUUAAAAAAAAAAUCCAGUAUCUUCUUGUGCUUGCAUACAUGAAUGUGUGCUUGUAAAGUUUACAAUAUAUAAACUGAACUUGUAACUGAUCAAGUAAGAUAGACAAUAAAACUUGACACUGGAAGUCGGAAAACAUAGAUGCUUUGUUUUAUAGCACCAAAUGUAACUUGAGUCUUUACAAAGGCUAUUGUUUUAUCCAUUUCUUUUCAUGGUCAUUUAUCUUUGGGCUAGAUUUGGGCUCACUUAAAACUUUCUUGGAAGAUCAUAUACGAACAUAAACUGAAAAUCAUGAAACUGUUUCAGUAUCUGUGAGAAGAGGAAAUGUCUGUCUGACUUCCACACUCAAGGCAGAACUGGUGACAUGUAAAGAGAGAUUCACUGAAGCCAGCUUCUAGGAGCAAAGCUACGGACUCGGUGGCGGGGAAACGAGGGGCCUUUUAUCAGGAAGACCGUGGCUAGCGUGGCUAGCGGCUUCUGCUGCUUCUGAGGCUUGUGGGAAGCAUCCUCGGCGAGACCAGGAGUUAGGACACAGGCAGUGGCCAGUGGGAGCUUUCUGAAGUUGUAAGUGGGAGGGUGAAUCAGUGCCUGCGACUUUGCUAACUAUGUCCGUUUGGGCUAUGACGGGAUGCUGUCUCAGAUCUUAGUGAGCUCUCUUUGCUGGAAGUGGUGCAUUCUCCUCUCCUGCUUUGCAUUUCCCUGUGAGGAGCUUGCUGAAUUGGGGGGACUUGAGUUGCAGGGGGGGGGGGCGACUCUUUGUUGCUGAGCUUGCCCAGCGAGCAAGCAAGGCAACAAGGCUCUGUGCUCUCUUUCCCACCAGGAAGGUCAGGCCGCUGGGGGCCAAUCUGUUUUCCAAAAUGGACCCUCCUGUCUGUCCCUGGUGUCUGUCAGAUUGAAACAGUUGUCUGUGUGGCUGUGCUUUCAAAGUUGCCUAAAUGUGUUGUUUUCUGGGAAAUAGAUACUGCACUACACGUCGGCUGUGUUAAAGAGAAGGAACCUUCUGAAGGAUUGGACUUUGGAUGUUAAUAUUUAUCUAAAUGGCAAAUUUAGUUAACUUUCUAAGAACAUAUUUACAGAUGCAGUAAAUUAACUGUAGGUACUAUACACACAACACACACACACACACACACACCCCUAGAUAAGCCUUCACUCCAGCUCUACUUGUAAAGACUGAGUGUUUAACUGGAAU
rnacentral:lncRNA from 1 species